GAUGAACGCUAGCGGCAGGCCUAACACAUGCAAGUCGAGGGGCAGCACAGAAACAGCAAUGUUUUGGUGGCGACCGGCGGACGGGUGCGUAACGCGUAUGCAACCUACCUUUAACAGGGGGAUAGCGGAGAGAAAUUUCCACUAAUACCCCAUAACAUCGAUCAAGGCAUCUUGAUUGGUUGAAAACUCCGGUGGUUAAAGAUGGGCAUGCGUUGUAUUAGGUAUUUGGUGAGGUAAUGGCUCACCAAGCCUACGAUACAUAGGGGGACUGGGAGGUUAGCCCCCCACACUGGUACUGAGACACGGACCAGACUCCUACGGGAGGCAGCAGUGAGGAAUAUUGGUCAAUGGGGGAAACCCUGAACCAGCCAUGCCGCGUGCAGGAAGACGGCUCUAUGAGUUGUAAACUGCUUUUAAACAGGGAUAAAGCACAGUAUGUAUACUGUGUUGAAGGUACUGUAAGAAUAAGGAUCGGCUAACUCCGUGCCAGCCGCCGCAGUAA
rnacentral:rRNA from 1 species